AAGGAUCAAGUUGUAGGUAUGGUCAUGUUAUGUUUCUUUCUUUAUUUUUGGGUCAAAAUAUCGGAGGGUUUACAGAGACGUGUUCCCACACCUUUGGUCCUUGGACGUUGCCGGAGAGGAGCAUCACAACAGAUUGAAAAAAAUUGGGAAACAGUUGAGAACUUUCAAGUUGGUGUUGAUUACACUUGCUUUCAUUGGGGCCACGUCGGGUUUACCUUGGUUUGGUGACGACUAUGAUUUCUACAUUCCCAUCAAACUAAUAGUCGAUUAUUGCGAUCAGUGGAAACUGUUUUUUUCAAUUUUCUUCUACCUUUCGUUUUAUCACAUUGGUGUCACCGUUUUGUCUUGUUUCUUCUCCUUAAUGUUCUUAGUGCUGCACUUACAAAACCAAUUUUAUUUGCUAAAGACGCGUCUCCAAACAUUUGCCACUGAUUCUGGCACGAGUGACGUAUUUUUAAGCAUGAAGGUAAAAGAUGAGGAGUAUAACAGGUCAGUGACUCAAGAAAUAGUGUUUUGUAUUCGACACCACCAAAGUGUGCUUAUGUAUUGCGAUCGCCUGAAUGAUUUGCUGUAUUUGCCUAUAUUUUACUUCACACUUAGCUUUAUUGUUACGGGAGUAUCGGUAAUCCUUUUUCCGAAAUACGAUCUUCAAGCCUUAAUAAGGAGUCUGUUUGUCAUUGUUUUAGGAAUGUGUAUGACCCUAUUGUUUUGUUCGCUUGGUCAAUUAAUAGAAAACGAAUCAGAAAACGUAUUGUACUCACUAAUUGAAGCUCCUUGGUACCUCUGGAACACCACCAACCGGAGACUCUAUUAUUUGUUUUUGCUCAAAGCUCAAGAUACAGUUAACUUAUCGAGUUCUGGGCUCAUAACAAUUAAUUUUCAGCUCAUACUAACAGUAAGUGCCAAUUUAAAUUCACGUUUAGAAAGCGAUUUUUUCAGCUCUAUCGAGGUAUUUAUUCCGCGCUAACUUUUUUCUUGAACUUUUCAUAGAAU